AUGUGAACACGUUAAUGUUCACAUAUGAACACCGCAGUUCUAAAACGUAUGCAAAUCCUUAAAAUCCGUUCAAAAUUGAACACAUUGUGUUCUUUUUCUUUCAGUGGUCUUUGAAAUCGUUCACACUUAGAACACAACGGACGCAGAAGACCAGUAAGGAACGCAUGGUGUUCAGUGGGUGUUCAUACCGGAACAUCAAGUUGGACACCAUGUGUUCAAGUUCAACAUCGGACAUGCGCACGACGCAUCACGUGAUGCGUUUAAUUUUUUUAAAAUCGCCAUUUGCAGGACGCUGGUUUGACUUUAAGGCUCUGACUGUUUCAACAACGGUUAUUUAAGUGCACGGUAACAGAAGAUGACGAAAAAAUAAAAUUUGUACAAGCCGCCGAAUGGACUGCACAGUCUUCUAGAAAAGAAUUAUGUUGUUGCAGAUUCGUUCAAACGGUGGGGAAAUGAAAUGGAGUUUAUCUUCCUAGGCUCAUGAAGACGAACAAGCAUCACGUGUGCAAUGAGGGAAAUUUUACCCAGACGGUGGCUUUUCCGCCUACUCUUGCCAAGAGUUAUAGGUGCGCGCCAAGGCCCAUCCUAACGACUAGAUGGUGUGCAGGCGAAGAGAGAAGAACGAAAAGUAAACGUAGAACUAGAAGACAGAAUAAGUUUACCACAGAUAACUUUUUACUUGCUAAUAAUAUUACAUUAAGAUUCGGAUAUUAUUAUAAUAGGUGAAUCUUUUUAAUUGGGCAUAGAAGAAUAUCGACGCAAACAAUGUUUUGUCACAUUAUCUCUUCCCAUGUUGUAUUAUAAA